CGACCUCAAAUCAGGUAGGACUACCCGCUGAACUUAAGCAUAUCAAUAAGCGGAGGAAAAGAAACCAACAGGGAUUGCCUUAGUAGCGGCGAGUGAAGCGGCAAAAGCUCAAAUUUGAAAUCUGGCACUUUCAGUGUCCGAGUUGUAAUUUGAAGAAGGUAUCUUUGGGUCUGGCUCUUGUCUAUGUUUCUUGGAACAGAACGUCACAGAGGGUGAGAAUCCCGUGCGAUGAGAUGUCCCAGACCUAUGUAAAGUU
rnacentral:rRNA from 1 species